AAUAAAAUUUGAAGAAAGUAAAAAAUAAUUUUAGAAACGAAAUAUCAACCGAGUGUAGAUGGCGCUAUUCUCCUAUAGUGAAUCGUGAAUCUGUCCUGCACCCACAUUUCAGAAGAUUUAUUUCGUGUGGAAAAGUGAAUUAUUCACAUAUCUUCUAUUUAGACAAUACAUUCUUGUAUUUCAAAGUGAAAUUAAUGAAUUACAUUUGUGAAAUACACGUGUGACAUCGUAUUUCUACAUUUUAUUUUUGUUGACCGUUUUUAGCAAUGGCAUUUAAAAAGUGGCACAUAUGCAUUGUUCUAGAAAAACGAUUAUGUACUUACACAUUUUUAAGCACUAAUAAUGGGAAGUGGCAAAUCGUGAGAUGAUAUUUAAAGAUACAUGAAACGAAAUUUUAUAAUUGCAGUGAUUAAUACAAUUAAGUGUAAAAUUGUCAGAACAUGCUUCUAAAAAAGAUACUCUGAUGGAGUUACAAACGAAGAAUCGAAUGCAUGGAAGUACGAUCCAUUAUUAUCCUAUGCAAGACAAGCCGAAGAAAGAAUUCAAGAAUUUGACAGACUAAAAAAAGCAAGACAUCUACUUGAUGCUAUUUUUCUUACAAAUGAAUUAAUUUCUGAUGGUUCUGAUGUAGAAAUAUUGAGUCUUGCUAACACUAUAAUAACAAGAUUUAAGGUUUUAGGGGUAUUUAAUACAUCACUAGAAAAUACUAGUGAAAAUACAAGGAUAAUGUUGAAUUCUUCUCACAGUGGCAUAUACCAUUGUUGUACAUUUUGUUCAAGUGGAGGGAAAAAAGAAGUCACCUGUGGUUGUAGAGGAACAAUGCCUGGUACUACAUGUUUAUUGAAUAAUGCAAUAAAGUACUAUUCAAUAUUGUA